GGAAAAAGAAGAGUGGCGAACGGGUGAGUAACACGUGGGUAACCUGCCCAUCAGAAGGGGAUAACACUUGGAAACAGGUGCUAAUACCGUAUAACAAUCGAAACCGCAUGGUUUUGAUUUGAAAGGCGCUUUCGGGUGUCGCUGAUGGAUGGACCCGCGGUGCAUUAGCUAGUUGGUGAGGUAACGGCUCACCAAGGCCACGAUGCAUAGCCGACCUGAGAGGGUGAUCGGCCACAUUGGGACUGAGACACGGCCCAAACUCCUACGGGAGGCAGCAGUAGGGAAUCUUCGGCAAUGGACGAAAGUCUGACCGAGCAACGCCGCGUGAGUGAAGAAGGUUUUCGGAUCGUAAAACUCUGUUGUUAGAGAAGAACAAGGAUGAGAGUAACUGUUCAUCCCUUGACGGUAUCUAACCAGAAAGCCACGGCUAACUACGUGCCAGCAGCCGCGGUAAUACGUAGGUGGCAAGCGUUGUCCGGAUUUAUUGGGCGUAAAGCGAGCGCAGGCGGUUUCUUAAGUCUGAUGUGAAAGCCCCCGGCUCAACCGGGGAGGGUCAUUGGAAACUGGGAGACUUGAGUGCAGAAGAGGAGAGUGGAAUUCCAUGUGUAGCGGUGAAAUGCGUAGAUAUAUGGAGGAACACCAGUGGCGAAGGCGGCUCUCUGGUCUGUAACUGACGCUGAGGCUCGAAAGCGUGGGGAGCAAACAGGAUUAGAUACCCUGGUAGUCCACGCCGUAAACGAUGAGUGCUAAGUGUUGGAGGGUUUCCGCCCUUCAGUGCUGCAGCUAACGCAUUAAGCACUCCGCCUGGGGAGUACGACCGCAAGGUUGAAACUCAAAGGAAUUGACGGGGGCCCGCACAAGCGGUGGAGCAUGUGGUUUAAUUCGAAGCAACGCGAAGAACCUUACCAGGUCUUGACAUCCUUUGACCACUCUAGAGAUAGAGCUUCCCCUUCGGGGGCAAAGUGACAGGUGGUGCAUGGUUGUCGUCAGCUCGUGUCGUGAGAUGUUGGGUUAAGUCCCGCAACGAGCGCAACCCUUAUUGUUAGUUGCCAUCAUUCAGUUGGGCACUCUAGCAAGACUGCCGGUGACAAACCGGAGGAAGGUGGGGAUGACGUCAAAUCAUCAUGCCCCUUAUGACCUGGGCUACACACGUGCUACAAUGGGAAGUACAACGAGUUGCGAAGUCGCGAGGCUAAGCUAAUCUCUUAAAGCUUCUCUCAGUUCGGAUUGCAGGCUGCAACUCGCCUGCAUGAAGCCGGAAUCG
rnacentral:rRNA from 1 species